GUGUAUCCACUGAACAUGUGGGUCCUCAAUAUGCUGCUUUCCCAAAUGCAAAGGUCGAGUGUACUUCCCUGUAUUUAUUCUACGUAUUUUAACAUGAAAUCAUUGCACAUUUUUGGGGAGGUAUAGUUCCGAAUUUUAUCGAUUAAUGCUUAAAGAAACACUUUUUCUGGACCCUUCGAGCAGUUUUGAUUGAAUCGAAUGUGACGUCAUUAAAUGGGCAAUUUUACGGAUUUCUUACAGAAACCAGCAGUAACUCUGGCUGUAGGUCACACUGAAUAAACCUCUCUUGAUGAGAGCGUCUCUUUCAGAGAAAGCCAAACUUAUUCCUUAUCGCUGCAUUAUCAAGGUCUUACAACUACGCCCCAUUAUUCACAAGGCCAGCAAUUAACUAAUUAUCCAAGCUUUUACCAAAGCUAAGAACAGAGGGGAAAUUAAACAAAAAUCGACAAAAAAAUUCCACUACACAAAACCAAAAGCCAUGCAAACAAUGUGAAAAAAAUUUAGUGUUACUAUUAACG